rnacentral:ncRNA from 1 species
AACCGCCGUAUACCGAACGGUACGUACGGUGGUGUGAGGGGACGGCGGGGAGACCCCGCCUCCUACUCGAU